rnacentral:rRNA from 1 species
AACAAACGCUGGCGGCGUGUCUUAAGCAUGCAAGUUGAGCGGCAAGGGGGAGCGAUCCCCCCUAGAGCGGCGGACUGGUGAGUAACACGUGGAUGAUCUACCCGAGGCAUGGGGAUAGUCACUAGAAAUAGUGGGUAAUACCGAAUACGGUGCGCAUCGUGAGGGUGCGCAAGAAAGGUGCUACGGCACCGGCCUAGGAUGAGUCUGCGUCCCAUUAGCUGGUUGGUGAGGUAAGAGCCCACCAAGGCGAUGAUGGGUAGCCGGCCUGAGAGGGUGUACGGCCACACUGGGACUGAGAUACGGCCCAGACUCCUACGGGAGGCAGCAGCUAAGAAUAUUCCGCAAUGGACGAAAGUCUGACGGAGCGACGCCGCGUGGAUGAAGAAGGCCGAAAGGUUGUAAAGUUCUUUUGUUGGGGAAGAAUAACCAUGGGAGGGAAUGCCCGUGGGAUGACAUGAACCGACGAAUAAGCCCCGGCUAACUACGUGCCAGCAGCCGCGGUAACACGUAGGGGGCGAGCGUUGUUCGGAAUUACUGGGCGUAAAGGGCAUGUAGGCGGUCUUGUAAGCUUGGCGUGAAAGACCACGGCUCAACCGUGGGAUUGCGUUGAGAACUGCGAGGCUUGAGUGACGGAGAGGGAGCUAGAAUUCCUGGUGUAGGGGUGGAAUCUGUAGAGAUCAGGAAGAAUACCAAUGGCGAAGGCAAGCUCCUGGCCGAUGACUGACGCUGAGGUGCGAAAGUGUGGGGAUCAAACA